AUCAUUGUAUGAAAAACCCAAAAACAUGAAUAAAAUCUGUUCUUAUCAGCUUAAUAUCUGAUACGGGUCCUAUUUGGACCCAAGAUAUUAAUCUUAUUUUUGGAAUGCGGCGUAGUGCUUGAGGUUUACCUCACCUAUGCCACGGGUUGGCCCGGUAUUGCACUGCCUCCGGGAUCGGCCCACCCCCC
rnacentral:snRNA from 1 species